GAUGAACGCUGGCGGCGUGCCUAAUACGUGCAAGUCGAGCGAACAGACGAGGAGCUUGCUCCUUUGACGUUAGCGGCGGACGGGUGAGUAACACGUGGAUAACCUACCUAUAAGACUGGGAUAACUUCGGGAAACCGGAGCUAAUACCGGAUAACAUGUUGAACCGCAUGGUUCAACAGUGAAAGACGGUCUUGCUGUCACUUAUAGAUGGAUCCGCGCCGCAUUAGCUAGUUGGUAAGGUAACGGCUUACCAAGGCAACGAUGCGUAGCCGACCUGAGAGGGUGAUCGGCCACACUGGAACUGAGACACGGUCCAGACUCCUACGGGGGGCAGCAGUAGGGAAUCUUCCGCAAUGGGCGAAAGCCUGACGGAGCAACGCCGCGUGAGUGAAGAAGGUCUUCGGAUCGUAAAACUCUGUUAUUAGGGAAGAACAAAUGUGUGAGUAACUAUGCACGUCUUGACGGUACCUAAUCAGAAAGCCACGGCUAACUACGUG
rnacentral:rRNA from 1 species